AUUUAAAUAGCUUAUUUUUAAGAGCAUAAUAUUGAAAAUAUUAAGGUAAUAGAACUCUAUUUUUAAAUG
rnacentral:tRNA from 1 species